GACGAACGCUGGCGGCGUGCUUAACACAUGCAAGUCGAACGGUGAAGGGACCGGUUUUUGCUGGUUCUGGAUGAGUGGCGAACGGGUGAGUAACACGUGAGUAACCUGCCCCCUUCUUCUGGAUAACCGCAUGAAAGUGUGGCUAAUACGGGAUAUUCUGCGCCUGCUGCAUGGUGGGGGUGGGAAAGAUAUUGUUUCGGUGGGGGAUGGGCUCGCGGCCUAUCAGCUUGUUGGUGGGGUGAUGGCCUACCAAGGCGGUGACGGGUAGCCGGCCUGAGAGGGUGGACGGUCACACUGGGACGGAGACACGGACCAGACUCCUACGGGAGGCAGCAGUGGGGAAUAUUGCACAAUGGGCGCAAGCCUGAUGCAGCGACGCCGCGUGAGGGAUGGAGGCCUGCGGGUUGUAAACCUCUUUCGCCAGUGAAGCAGGCCUGUCCCUUUUGUGGGUGGGUUGACGGUAGCUGGAUAAGAAGCGCCGGCUAACUACGUG
rnacentral:rRNA from 1 species